UACGUAGGGGGCAAGCGUUGUCCGGAAUCAUUGGGCGUAAAGCGCGUGUAGGCGGCCCGAUAAGUCUGCUGUGAAAGUCCAGGGCUCAACCCUGGAAUGCCGGUGGAUACUGUCGGGCUAGAGUCCGGAAGAGGCGAGUGGAAUUCCUGGUGUAGCGGUGAAAUGCGCAGAUAUCAGGAGGAACACCAAUUGCGAAGGCAGCUCGCUGGGACGGCACUGACGCUGAGACGCGAAAGCGUGGGGAGCGAACAGG
rnacentral:rRNA from 1 species